rnacentral:rRNA from 1 species
AUUGAACGCUGGCGGCAGGCAUAACACAUGCAAGUCGAACGAGUGGCGGACGGGUGAGUAAUGUCUGGGAAACUGCCCGAUGGAGGGGGAUAACUACUGGAAACGGUAGCUAAUAACGCAUACCAUCGGAUGUGCCAAGAUGGGAUUAGCUCGAAGGUGGGGUAACGGCUAACCUAGGCGACGAUCACUAGCUGGUCUGAGAGGAUGACCAGCCACACUGGAACUGAGACACGGUCCAGACUCCUACGGGAGGCAGCAGUGGGUAAGAUUGCACAAUGGGCGCAAGCCUGAUGCAGCCAUGCCGCGUGUAUGAAGAAGGCCUUCGGGUUGUAAAGUACUUUCAGCGAGGAGGCGUUACUCGCAGAAGAAGCACCGGCUAACUCCGUGCCAGCAGCCGCGGUAAUAC